rnacentral:lncRNA from 1 species
CGAGGGUUCAGUAGUCCGAUGCCUUACCUGUUAUUAAAUAUACUUAUAAUAUAAUUCUUAUAUGUAUGUACAUGUGUAUAUUUUAGGUUAGUCUGCUGCUCGCUCUGCUUUCAACUCUGGGCUUCUCUUUUCUCGAGGUGAUUAUCCAUAAUCCCCAAAAAGCGUUCGUUGGGCGGAUGAUGACGAUGACUCCUGGCUGUCGGAUUGAAUGACUAAAGACAAAGUUGCCGUUGCCCAGAAGAUAAAUGCGGGAUGUAAUAUUCGCUUUUCCCGGAGCCUGUACCUGCCUCACAUACCCCAGUCAGGACAGACAGGUACUAGAUGGCGGCGUUAAUAUUUGUAGCUGCGCAGAAAUCUGUAGUCUGGCGGCGAUAAAGCAUCUUUGUGGCGACAAUGAAUCGGUGAUAAAGCUUUUUACGUGCCAGCGGGUAAAUAAAGUGCUUCUCCGUAUCUCCUCAGCCUCAUCCCUGACACAUACACAGCUGUUUCGGCUGUUGCUGUUUGUCUCUCAGCUCCAUCGCUGGUUUUGCAUAAUUUGAUGCAAGUACAUUUGCCCCAGAGAAAACGGGAGGAUACGCCAACAUGCCUUCGGCCAAAUUCGUCGGUCUCUCACACUGAACAAUCUGAUUUAAAUCUUUAAUAAAUGGGUCAGACUGUAGAACUUUUCGCAG